rnacentral:tRNA from 1 species
AGAAAUUUAGGAUAAAUCAAACCAAGGGCCUUCAAAGCCCUAAAUGGAGGCCCAAACCCUCUAAUUUCUG